UGCAGGGCUCCCCUUGCUCGCACCAGGAUCCGCUGGGGGGUUGGGCUCUCCGUUGGCAUUUGGUCCAUGCCGGAGGGGGGACUUUCUGGGGCAGCCAGGCUCGGCUGCCUGCUGCAAGGACCCCCCCCCAUUGCAGAGAAGGCAAAGCAGCAGACCCAGCCUGGGAGGGGGGACGGAGGAGGAGAACCCGCGGUGUUUUCAAGGAAAUCGCCUAUUUCUCACCCCCGAGCAUGGCCUAGCCUGGGUGAUAUUUGAUGUUCUGCGUGUGCCACCUUCUCUCUGGAUGGUGAAUCAUUGGUCUUUAGGUCCUGUGAAAGUUCUCUUGGAAUCCCCGGGUGAAGGAUGCAAGCUGGAAAGAAAGAAAGAGAAUUUGAUCAUCAAAGAAAUAAAGAGCAGCAAACUCCUAAAAAUCUGGAAAUCUGCGCUAAUUGCUUCUGAAUGUCUGUCUGAAAAAUUAUCAAAUUGAUGCCGUCGUGCUUUUUUUGACAGCCUGUCUGUUACAGUUUUUUUUUUAAAUAUUCAUGCAUGGAAAUCUAAUUACUAGGCAAAUUUAAUGAUAAUGAGAUGAAGGCACCUUGUUCAUAUUUUCUCAGCCUCUGUCUUGUUCAGAAUGUUUUGGUUUUUUUACGACUGCCUUUCUUGUACUUAAAAAAAAAAAUGCCAAAAAUAAAAUGUGGAUUGCUGAAAAUGUUUGCA
rnacentral:lncRNA from 1 species